CCUACGGGUGGCAGCAGUGAGGAAUAUUGGUCAAUGGGCGUAAGCCUGAACCAGCCAAGUCGCGUGAGGGAUGAAGGUUCUAUGGAUCGUAAACCUCUUUUAUAAGGGAAUAAAGUGUGGGACGUGUCCUGUUUUGUAUGUACCUUCUGAAUAAGGAUCGGCUAACUCCGUGCCAGCAGCCGCGGUAAUACGGGGGAUCCGAGCGUUAUCCGGAUUUAUUGGGUUUAAAGGGUGCGUAGGCGGCCUUUUAAGUCAGCGGUGAAAGUCUGUGGCUCAACCAUAGAAUUGACGUUGAAACUGGGAGGCUUUAGUAUGUUUGAGGCAGGCGGAAGGCGUGGUGUAGCGGUGAAAUGCUUAGAUAUCACGCAGAACCCCGAUGGCGAAGGCAGCCUGCCAAGCCAUGACUGACGCUGAUGCACGAAAGCGUGGGGAUCAAACAGGAUUAGAUACCCGAGUAGUC
rnacentral:rRNA from 1 species